rnacentral:rRNA from 1 species
GAUGAACGCUGGCGGCGUGCCUAAUACAUGCAAGUCGAGCGAACAGACGAGGAGCUUGCUCCUCUGACGUUAGCGGCGGACGGGUGAGUAACACGUGGAUAACCUACCUAUAAGACUGGGAUAACUUCGGGAAACCGGAGCUAAUACCGGAUAAUAUAUUUAACCGCAUGGUUCAAUAGUGAAAGACGGUUUUGCUGUCACUUCUAGAUGGAUCCGCGCCGCAUUAGCUAGUUGGUAAGGUAACGGCUUACCAAGGCAACGAUGCGUAGCCGACCUGAGAGGGUGAUCGGCCACACUGGAACUGAGACACGGUCCAGACUCCUACGGGAGGCAGCAGUAGGGAAUCUUCCGCAAUGGGCGAAAGCCUGACGGAGCAACGCCGCGUGAGUGAUGAAGGUCUUCGGAUCGUAAAACUCUGUUAUUAGGGAAGAACAAAUGUGUAAGUAACUAUGCACGUCUUGACGGUACCUAAUCAGAAAGCCACGGCUAACUACGUG